AACGAACGUUAGCGGCGCGCCUAACACAUGCAAGUCGAACGCGACAGGGGCAACUCUGUUGAGUGGCGCACGGGUGAGUAACACGUAGGUAAUCUCCCCCCGAGUGGUGGAUAACCUUCCGAAAGGAGGGCUAAUACAGCAUAAGACCACGGCUUCGAAAGGAGCUGAGGUCAAAGCGGAGGAUCGCAAGACUUCGCGCUGGGGGAUGAGCCUGCGGCCCAUCAGGUAGUUGGCGGGGUAACAGCCCACCAAGCCUAAGACGGGUAGCGGGUCUGAGAGGAUGAUCAGCCACACUGGAACUGAGACACGGUCCAGACUCCUACGGGAGGCAGCAGUGGGGAAUCUUGCGCAAUGGACGAAAGUCUGACGCAGCGACGCCGCGUGGGUGAUGAAGGCCUUCGGGUUGUAAAGCCCUGUGGGGAGGGACGAAUAAGUUUCAGCUAAUACCUGAAGCGAUGACGGUACCUCCUUAGCAAGCACCGGCUAACUCUGUGCCAGCCGCCGCAGUAA
rnacentral:rRNA from 1 species